rnacentral:rRNA from 7 species
GUUGACCUCGGAUCAGGUAGGGAUACCCGCUGAACUUAAGCAUAUCAAUAAGCGGA